AAACAAUAUAAUAGUUUUGUUUGUGGAAACACCACGUAAAUUUAUUACUACUAACAGUAAUAAAUUUAUGUGGUGUUUCCAUAUACAAAACUAUUAAACAAUCCUUUGUCUUAA